UACGAGGGAUCCUAGCGUUGUUCGGAAUCAUUGGGCGUAAAGCGGGUGCAGGUGGCUUUGUAAGUCAGGUGUGAAAUCCCAAGGCUCAACCUUGGACGUGCAUUUGAUACUGCGAAGCUUGAGUGUAGGAGAGGCAAUUGGAAUUCCAGGUGUAGUGGUGAAAUACGUAGAUAUCUGGAGGAACACCGGUGGCGAAGGCGGAUUGCUGGCCUAACACUGACACUCAGACCCGAAAGUAUGGGGAUCAAACAGG
rnacentral:rRNA from 1 species